rnacentral:rRNA from 1 species
UACGUAGGGUGCGAGCGUUGUCCGGAAUUACUUGGCGUAAAGCGCACGUAGGCGGACUACUAAGUCAGGGGUGAAAUCCCGGGGCUCAACCCCGGAACUGCCUUUGAUACUGGUAGUCUCGAGUCCGGAAGAGGUGAGUGGAAUUCCGAGUGUAGAGGUGAAAUUCGUAGAUAUUCGCAAGAACACCAGUGGCGAAGGCGGCUCACUGGCCCGAUACUGACGCUGAGGUGCGAAAGCGUGGGGAGCAAACAGG